rnacentral:rRNA from 1 species
CCUACGGGAGGCAGCAGUGAGGAAUAUUGGUCAAUGGACGAGAGUCUGAACCAGCCAAGUAGCGUGAAGGAUGACUGCCCUAUGGGUUGUAAACUUCUUUUAUAUGGGAAUAAAAUGUUCCACGUGUGGGAUUUUGUAUGUACCAUAUGAAUAAGGAUCGGCUAACUCCGUGCCAGCAGCCGCGGUAAUACGGAGGAUCCGAGCGUUAUCCGGAUUUAUUGGGUUUAAAGGGCGCGUAGGUGGAUUGUUAAGUCAGUUGUGAAAGUUUGCGGCUCAACCGGAAAAUUGCAGUUGAAACUGGCAGUCUUGAGUACAGUAGAGGUGGGCGGAAGUCGUGGUGUAGCGGUGAAAUGCUUAGAUAUCACGAAGAACUCCGAUUGCGAAGGCAGCUUACUGGACUGCAACUGACACUGAGGCUCGAAAGUGUGGGUAUCAAACAGGAUUAGAUACCCUUGUAGUC